CGGCGGCGCGGCUGGGUGAGCGGAGGCAGAGAGGAUCUUCGCACCCAGAGCCGAGGCUGUACGCGAGGGAGCGCAGCUCGGGGACGAGCCGCCUCCCCACCCCCGCGACGCCGUGCCCGGCUCCGGGGCGCAAGCGCUAUGGCAGGACCCCUUUCCCUUCUUCUAGCUCUUCUGAGAACCCUGGAGGGUAUACACAUUCCAACUGGGAGAUCCAUUUGAUUUCUGCUUCAAGUUAAGAUGUUUUGUAUCUUUACCAUAAAGUGAUUGAUGAUUAGAAGCUGAGGAGAAUUGAUAACACAAGAAGAUAAUGCAUUUCGAAGAGGUUUUGGAAACAAACAGCAACAGAAAAAGGUAAGAAGAGGCCAGCUGCCGUGGCUCACACCUGAAAUCCUGAAAUCCUAGCACUUUGAGAGGCCGAGGCAGGUGAAUCAUCCGAGGUCAGGAAUUCGAGAUCAGCCCGGCUAGUACGGUGAAACUCCGUCUCUGCUAAAACUACAAAAAAAUUAGCCGGACAUAGUGCUGCAUGCCUGUAGUCCCACCUACUCGGGAGGCUGAGGCAAGAGAAUCACUUGAACCUGGGAGGCAGAGGUUGCAGUGAGCUAAGAUUGCUCCACUGCACUCCAGCCUGGGCGACAGAGUGAGACUCCAUCUCAAAAAAAAAGUAAGAAGAAUUAUCAAUUAUAGAAAGAACCAAUAAUGAUGAUAAAAGUACCAAUAAUAAUUACCAUUGUAUUGCAUUAAACACUGUUUUAGGUGUUUGCCUAUGUUAUUAGCAUUUACCCCUCAUUCUUAUAACAAAUCAUUUUAUGGAUGAGAAAAUUGAGACUUGGAGGGUUUAAGAAACUU
rnacentral:lncRNA from 1 species